rnacentral:lncRNA from 1 species
AAUCUGGUCUUACCUGCUGCUCACUCCAACAGCAGUGAGGAAACGCUGGGGCUUGAGCUGCUCUUCCCCACGAGCUGAGCCUCCAAGAGACAGCGAGGGGCAGACGUGUGAGCCCACCCGGUGAGGGGACACAACUCGUGGGCUGCUGCACCGAGACCCGAGGGGCCAGGCAGAAGUGCAUCAGGAAGUGAGAAAGGAGAAGAGUCAAACUGCAGCAUGCCAGAUGUAGAAUCAGCCGUAGCGCGGUAGGGGACAGCUGUGAUUUGGAUGAAGAGCCCGCCCGGUUCUGUUCUGAUCCAAGCUGCUUUGGUGCCGGGAUCGAGACCUCUGCAGUGGGAGCACUCAGGGAGCAGCAAGCCGGCAUCCACGCUUGGCUCUUCUCCAGCAGCGAGGAAUUGUACUGACAGCUGGCAAUGAUCCUCCAUCACCUUAUCACCUCAUAACCACUGGAAAGAACUGCUGAGCUAGGGGCAGAAGCAGCCUCCACAUUACCAUCCCUUCCAGAUGACCACAGAGCCGCAAUCCAAAGCAGUGCCAGCCAAGAGAGAUAUUGCCCAUCUACCUCCCAGCUGCAGAUGACAGGAAUGACCUGCCCGUGGCUUCUCAGAGGGGAACAACAUCCCUCAGUGCUCUUCUUUGUGUCUCCUCAUCCCACCAACAGGCUCAGCCACCUCA